GACCCUUAAUCUACCAAUAAAAUCUGAUUUUGUUUCACUCUCUUUCUCAUUUUCACAUCAUCCUUCCCUUCCUCUCAUUUUCUUUAUAUUCCUCAAUUACCAAACUCCCUUAAAGCACCCAUCUUUACCGUCAUACUCCGUCCAAAUUGUCGGCACCCUUCACGAAAGUUGUUCUACUCGCCGUCGUCUACAAAGCUACGGUAAUCUUUUUCUGUUUUCCUUAAUUUUUUUUU
rnacentral:lncRNA from 1 species